AGUGCAUUCGCGCCGCGAACCCGGCCGAACAUCAAAAAUCACAGAAAAAAUCCCUGCCAUCCCGAUUACAGUGUCCACUACCAUGCAUCGUGCAUUUUUUUCGAAAGAAAACUGUGAUAGGGAUGGAUAAAUGAAGGCGUCUUUGUUCGCCGCCAUGUUGGAUUGCACGAUUCCUUGAUGCGGAAAGCUGGAGACUGAUUUCAAAAUAAGAUGCUGAUGCCUGUGACGUCACGCGCCCCGCUGUUCUUGGAAGGAAAUACCG